rnacentral:rRNA from 1 species
AUUGAACGCUGGCGGUAGGCCUAACACAUGCAAGUCGAGCGGAUGAAGAGAGAUUGCUCCUGGAUUCAGCGGCGGACGGGCGAGUAAUGCCUAGGAAUCUGCCUGGUUGUGGGGGAUAACGUCCGGAAACGGGCGAUAAUACCGUAUACGUCCUGAGGGAGAAAGUGGGGGAUCUUCGGAUCUCACGCUAUCAGAUGAGCCUAGGUCGGAUUAACUAGUUGGGGGGGUAAAGGCCUACCAAGGCGACGAUCCGUAACUGGUCUGAGAGGAUGAUCAGUCACACUGGAACGGAGACAGGGUCCGGACUCCUACGGGAGGCAGCAGGGGGAAUUAUUGGACAAUGGGCGAAGGCCGGAUCCGGCCUAGCCGCGUGUGUGAGGAAGGUCUUCGGUUGGUAAAGCACUUUAAGUUGAAAGAAAAGGCAGUAGGUUAAGACCUUGCUGUUUGGACGUUACCAACAGAAUAAGCACCGGCUAACUUCGG